GACAGCAAUAGUUUUCUCUCAUCUCCAAACAACGGACUAGGUGUACCUGCCUGGAGAGUUGUGUUGGGAAGGGUUUUAAGACCACAUCCAAAAAGAAAGAGGGUUUUGGUUGAUUGACGAGUUCGUGGGCAUAAGCCUAAUGACUGCUUUAUGGCUGAGAAAUGGUGGAGGAAGCGACUGAGACUGAAGAGAUGAAGAAACUGAGGCACACAGGGAGACACAGACGUGGCCUUCCCAGCAGUACUCAGGUUUUCUCCUUCCUAACCUCCUGCCCUUUCCUUGUGUUUUAGGCAUUGGCUAAUGAAUUUAAAUGAAACAAUUGCUCGUGUCUGCCAAAAGCUGCAUAGAGGAACCUGGGCUGUGUAUUAUGGCUGAUAUGAUACUAGUCUUCCGAACGGAAGGUGGGGGUGGGAGGAGAUCCUGGCAUUUGCCAUCUGGUAAGCCUGUCUUUAAUCCUCAGUAAAGUAAUGGAAUGGAGAUGAGGAAAAAAAUGUGUAAGAAUCAAAAGCAUAAUGCCACCAUGAGCAAGCAGCUGUCUGGAUUUUUAAAGAGCAAAUUCCAUGAGACAAAUUUAAUUGCAUUUUUUAAUAGAAUUAAAAAAAGUCCACAACAUUAGUGGGUGAAGGAAAUGAAAUGGAUGUAUCCAAAAAUCUCACUUGAAAGAUGAAUUCAGCGGGGCUGGUUCUGAGCUGUCUUCUGUAUUGAAACCCGGCUGGAAGGCCACGUGAGCAGCGGUGGGAGGCCAUGGAGUGGCUGGGAGAUGGUGGCCAGCGGCGUGCUUCUGGCAGGCUCUGAGAUGGGCCGGCGCCUACAGAGCAUCAUUAUUAAUGACUUGCAGGAGGUGAUGAGCAGAACAUUAAUUAAAUGUGCACAUGUGGCCAAGUGGGAAAUUGGCGGCGAAAACACCAGAGAGGCAGGCACGUAAUACCCAGAUGAGGAAACUGAGUCCCAGAGGAGUGGAGUACCUUGGUGAAGUUCACCCAGCACCUCCUGGAGCUGAAACCUCAGCUGGAACAGCUCAAGUAUUAAUGCCGGGUUAAGCUGCACUUUCUGCGUAAGAACCAACUUUGGCUUUGUAUGUCAGACUGAAACAACACUUCCAUCUUGCGUUGCUUCAAAUGUAAGUACAGUUUGUGGGUCUCCAGGAAGAUCCCCAGGCUCCAUUUUGCUGGCAAAUAGUCGUUAAGA
ensembl:lncRNA